rnacentral:rRNA from 1 species
AUUAAACGCUGGCGGCAUGCCUUACACAUGCAAGUCGAACGGCAGCACGGGGGCAACCCUGGUGGCGAGUGGCGAACGGGUGAGUAGAGCAUCGGAACGUGCCCUGGAAUGGGGGGAUAACGUAGCGAAAGUUACGCUAAUACCGCAUAUUCUGUGAGCAGGAAAGCAGGGGAUCGCAAGACCUUGCGCUAUGAGAUGAGCUUGCGUCCGAUUAGCUAGUUGGUGGGGUAAAGGCCUACCAAGGCGACGAUCGGUAACUGGUCUGAGAGGAUGAUCAGUCACACUGG